rnacentral:lncRNA from 1 species
ACGUUUACAGGGUGGAGGUGGAAAUUAAAUUUAGGGGGCCAUGAGGAAGACCCCCAGCCCUGUGCCUUUUGAAUUGACAACCAUGGCAUUUCAGGGCAUCAGCUCCAGGUCAGGCAUUCUCAGGCAGUUGCAUAAUUCUGCCAAUGUGGGGCCCGCCCACCUCAAAAAUCCACAUGGAUUGGAUCCAGCAAAAUCAAAUAUUCAGCAAAACUUUAAGAUCUAGCAAGACUGAAGGCUCAAGUACAUCACCGGUGCAUACUUGGCCCAAGGAGGCUAUUCUCUCACAAUCUCUACCCAUCUCGGGGCCUGCAGCAUCUGAGACUCACUGCUUCCUGCAGGUAUCCCAGGAAAAAGAUUUAUGCAUCCUCAUAGCUUCAACAUGCAGUGUUUCAGGCACAGAAAAACGGUUGUCUUCAGAAAGAGAUGAAAAAACAUGCAGUAGCAAUCACCCUUUGGACUUUGAAACUUUUCUGUCACCUUAGAUGUCAGAAACUAAAACCCAGAAACUUGGUGUUGGCAUUAAUUUGGUCUAGCUAUGAAGACUUUUUUUUUUUUCCACACAGUGACCGUUCUGAAUUUGAAUAUAAAGGAGCUUAGUUGCUACAAUCUGAAUGGAACGUGGGAAUAAAACUGUCUUUGCCUUGUACUUCUUGUUAGAUUAAUUAAAUACCAAUUAUCAGUAUAAGAAAAUGGCAAUAAAAUUGUCAAAGUGGAAUUGGAAAGUGUUUUUGUGAUUUGGAUAUGAAGCAGGCUUCCCAUGUGACCAUUCUCACUUCCUAUUCUGAAGUCUAACAGUCUGCUUUUCUUUCUCUCCCUCUCUUCAUUGAUUCUUCUAGUGGCUGGUUUUUGGGUAUUGUGGGACUGAACUUUCAUCUCCUAUGUUAGCCAUACAGAUGAGGGCUUUGAGGGCACCAUGGAAUCCGAUUGUUGGAAAUGGCUCAUAAAUCACAGGCACUUAAGCCCAACAGAGCUUAAAGGAAAGGAAAAUUUAAAAAUCAGGUGCAACAAAAGCAAAAUGAGAAAACUCCUAAACUCUACAAUUCUAUAAAGAAGAAUUGCAUAAAAA